AGAGUGCGAAACGUGAAUCGGAAGGGGGGAGGUGGGGGGAUUUUUAUAGGGAGUCAGAGUCAGAGUCAGAGUUUUGGGGAGGAAGCAAUAAAGGAAAGGCAUGAAAUUCUACGUUUAUUAUUGAUUUCGUGUUGAAUUUUUGAUUAUUUCUAUAAAUAUUACGAAUGGCCAAAGGUGGCGGCGCAUUCUGCGUUCGAUUGGGGUUGGGGGUGCUAUAAAUGUUGGAAUCUAUAUAUACGUACAUAUGUAGAUACAUGGGAAAAGGUGUGAGUACCCUACUCUCCUUUGGACGAACACGACACGUGCGAUGUUGAUAAUGCCGCCUAGGUCAAGUUUGAGCAUAUAGGUGUGCAAGAGUGACAUCAACGACUUGAGAGCUUCACUUAUUUGUAGGUCAUUUUCAUGUAAUGCAAACAGCAGCAGCAGCAGCAACAAUCGUCAUCAGUUGUCGCCGCCUUCGCAGUCGCAGAGCAAUCAUAAAAAACAAAUCAGCAAACUGAAAACUGAAAACAAAAAGUAAAAAACCGAACAGUGCUCAUGUACUCUUGAAAGCCCGACAAUAACUUAAGGGGCGAAAAGCAAGAAAAAAGGCGGUUGAGACUAACUAUACAAGACAUUUUUAUAUGGCGUCGGUGACAACAACGUGGCUCGCAUAUUAGUUAUGUAAGCGAGUUAUGGCCAAAAGAACCAUAAGGUUAAGAAGCUGACAUCCGAGGCGUUUCGGGGUUAAGAGCUGCCCAUCAGCUGAAAGUUAUUAACCUGCUCUGGGUCACCCAGCAGUCGCUAGUGAACUACAGAUCACUUGGAAAACCCCGAAAACAAGUCGCAUCCAGAGAUUUGCAAACUGGGGAGUUAUGACAUCAGUGGGCCAGACAGCAAAACAUCCCGAAUCUUAUCUUAUCCCAACCAACUUGGGCUGUCACCACCAUACGAGUAUGACCAAACAUGCUCCUCGGGUUGUACUUUGAUGUUAUCUCUAAGGAGUGGUGGUAAUUCCCACAUUAGAAGUCUAUCUUUGGAAUCUAAAAUUAUAAAACCGUCUGGCCUUGCGGGCCAAUCAAUCGCGCGAUUUCGAUCUAGUAACGAAAAUAAAAGAUAUAUGUAAGUAUUAUUUAGCUUAAAUCGUGUCUAUCAAGUGCUCUAAGUCACAAUGCUUGUUUAUCUAUGGCUAUAAAUGACUUUCAUUGUUGCUUUCUUCGUUGUUGUACCACCUUUGUGGCUGAGGCUUAUCCAUGUUUGUUUUUUCCUUUGCCCAAACUCUUUGCUUGCCUUAUCUUAAUGUACUCGAGUGUAUUGAGGCCCCCUAUAUUAUCUUUUCUACUUUUUGAUCUUAUCCGCUUUUACAUUUAUUUGUUAGUUUAGCUGGGCUUUAGUUUAUUAGCUCUGCUUUUAACGCCUUGCUUUUAUGUUUUGAUAAAAUUUCUAAUUUACUUUUAGUUUGUUUUAUACCCCUGUGUGUGCUUAUUAACAAAUUGUGUAAAUGAAACCACUCUCGAAUUUGCCACACUUCAGUGGCUUCCCACUGAAUGAUCAUUGAUCAGUGAUCACAACAUCGUUUCCGUUCGAUAAUGUUUCGAUUAUUCAUUGCAUUGGAUCGUGAUCUGACUGAUUAAAGUGAGUGUGUGGUAUCGGGUUACUUGUUUGUGAAUCUCUGCAAAUGAUUCGAAUUCGAGUGAAUUUCUAUUUUAAUAUGAAAGAAAAUUCUUCGGCUAUCAAUGAGACAAUUGAGAGCUUUGUUGACCAAAUUCUGUUUCGGCGUAAACAAAUUCGCAGAAGACGGAACGUCUGGAAAAUAAGUACGGCCAUGAGAAAUCGAAUGUUGAUAAGAAUUAUAAUCGGUUAGUGUUUUGGAGUAGCUAGCCAGCUUGAUAAGAGGGCCCUCUACGCCUGAUAAGAACCUCCAGACCGCGUUGGUAAGUUUGUUUUUAGAGGGGUCUAGUUUCAGAAACGUCUAUCGAAAAUUGGUUUGCCGGCAGAAAUGGAGCUCUACAAUUCGCACUCAACUUAAGUGCGUUCUAUUUUAAAGUCUGCACAGCAAUGGCUGAAAAAUUAGCAUCUUACAAUAUUAUUGGCAUAUUUUAUUUUUAGAAAUUUAUCUACUUAUCAUUAUGCUAAUAAUUACAUGGCAUGCUUAAGUGUUAAUAAAAUUCAUUUUUCAUAUGUAAAUACUUCAAUUUAUAACUGAUUUUUGGGGGCUUUUGAAAUUUUAAAUUUAAAGUAGAAAAGAAAAAAAAAUAAUAUAUAUUAAACAAAUUAUUUUCUUUGUGUAGUAUUUAUGUAGUAUUUACUUAUCUUCGAAUUGGCUUAACGUUAUAAACAUUAUAUUGUAUUGCACCUUUAAAAUGGAAUUUUAAGAGCAUUUCCAUAUAAGUAGAAUACCAUUCAAAUACCAUUAUACUAUAUAAUAUAAUAAUAUAUGUAUAUAUGUAUAAUAUAUGUAAUAGGACUACUCUUAUUACUUUAUUAUUAAAUGUACAUUAUAACUUGAAGUUCUAUUCUUUCUGGAAUUACUUUCCAGAUUACGACCGCUGCGUUACUAUUAGCUUGCCCGCAAUUGUGCGCGCUUCUAUCUGUCUGGCGGUUUGUUUUUUUAAGGGCGGUAUAAAGGUGGGUCCGCCAUGCGCUUUGCAUGCCAAGUAUAUCCACAUCCAGACCUCUGAUUCACUGAUAACACGUGCCAAGUGCACUCCACCUGACCCAAGCCAAAAACCAGACGAUUGCAGUUGCCUGGGCAAAUAUUUGCACCGAUCACUCGGUUGACUGGCCAUUCCCUAGUGCAGUUCGCCAUGUGACUCCGUUGGCGCUCUCGCCCCACAUUUCCCCACCAACUCACUCCUACAUUAGCCAUUGCAAACUGGACGAGUGAUAAGUAGGGGAGCUGCUAAUUGAUAUAGCCGCAUCAUGGCCAUGACACCUCAAAAAUUGCGUCUACUGAUACCAACUGGACCUAUAUUUUUUGCACUUGGCAGUCGGCGGUGUGAGUGCAUAACAUACUUAUAUGGCAAUUAUAUGAAAGUCAUUUGCUUUCAAAUAAUUAUGAACGAGGAAAAGAUUCACUCUGAAAUUCAGCUGACAUCAUCGCCCGAUUUAAAAAGUUCUCAUUACGCGAUGAAUUAAAUUUAUAUAUAAUUGUACUUAAGAUUGCUGCGAUUGCGAAAAGUAACGACUUUAAGUAGAUUUUGUGUGCUGCAGAUGUGGGAAUUCAAGUUAAUGGAUGGGAUAGGUCGUGCAUCUAGAUUAAAUUACUAGUUGAUUGUAACAUUUUUUUUAAUAGCUAAGCAACUUUUAUAAAACUCGAGUAAUGUAAUAACUAGAAACAUUUGGCUCAGCAUUUUCUGUAGAAUGCAUUUAAUACUGCAAAGAUUGCACAGUCAACUUUCUUCUUUUGUUUUACAAUAUAUAUUUUUUAAACUUCCUAAGCCUUCUGUGAAACAAGUGCCAAUUUUCCUAUAAAUAUUUACCUACUUAAAUAUGCUCACUGCUACGCGCAUUUGUUCGCCAAUGCUUCCUAUUUGAAAUGGGCUUCCUGGUUUUGGAUUCCCUCUUGAAUUUCUCAAACAGUUCCCUGUUGAGCUCGCUAUCGGAAGAUAGUAUAAUAAGUAGACCUUUGCAACUGGAACUUCGUUCCAUCUAUAUGGACUAUAUCUGUAUCUGUAUCUGUAUAGUGGCCAAAGUAUGACUAAUGCCAACAGCAGCUUGCAUAAACAACUAAACAACUUGCGGCGAAUGUUUACGCUCGCUGGGGGGCUCAGAAUAUAUAAUUUCAAUUCCAAGUGGACGGGCCCAUGCAAAUGAGGCCUCGAGUACCCCAAGUAUCCAGUACUAGCUUAGAAAAAAACACACAAAAAAAAAGAAUAUAUAUAUGUUUGUGCAUUUGGCGGUACACAGUCGUGUCUAAGUAUUACUUAAUAUCAUUGACUAAGCGCUGCUCACCCAAAAGCCGAGCCAUCAAAACAACUUUCGAUUACGAAAUUUAGCACAGUUCGGGUUCGAAUAUCCAAAAGUCUGGGGGGAGGAGUUUGUUUUUUGUGGGGGGUCUGGGGGGAGAGAAAACAGCCGGAGGAAAAAACAAACUUAAUGAGCUUUGCGAAAUAUGUGUUUGCUUGCCCUUUCGAUGGCUGCUGUCAAGUACAAUAAACGACAACAGGUUGAAGCCUAAGAAUCGGCAACCUUAACACUUAAGCAGCUGAAAUGAAAAUUGCAAAUAAAAUAAAAAACAAAACAAAAAAAACUAGAAAAAAAGGAAAAACAAAAGACAAAUUGCACAGCAGAAUGGAGACGAUGACAGUGGCUUUGAGGAUGACUAAUGCCCAUCUAAAAAACUGAAGAACUGAAAAACUGAAACUCACCGAUGGAAACCAAGACACAAUGGGCAAACUAAAAAAACAAAAAAAAAAACUCGAGGCAAAUUUCGAAUUAAAAUAAAGUCAUUGAGUGUGGUCGAGUGGUUCGGUGGUUGCGUGGUUCAGUGGUUCGGCAUUGGUGGAUUGCCGCGUGCACACAAUGUGAUGCACUGAUGCAGUGGUGCAGUUGCUGUGCAAAUGCUAUCUGAAUUCCCGGGAAGAUGCCAUCGCCAUCGCCAUCUAAAUAUCACAGUAUUACACUAAAGGUUGCUAAGGGAUUUCAAAUUGUGAUUCAGUCACGAUAGAUGAUCUCGAGCACUAAUUUCAGCAAUUGAAACUGAAAUUGUUUCGAGCGGAUUCCUAGAAGUCACUAAUAAUGGAAAAUUCGAGUUCAGCAUGAGUUUUCAUUCUGUAAUAAUUAACUGGUAACUAAACCAUCUAUACAAGUACUGGGAAAUAUGUAAGAUCAUACAAAAACAUAACCCAUUUAAUUUCUGUUAAUGGAUGUAAGCACGAAACACAUACAACUCUUUAGUAAUAAGCGUACCUAAAUUUAGAUAACGUUCAUUGGAAAUUCUUUUGAAGUAUUUAUUAAAACAAUAAAUAAUAUUAUUUUAACCAGCUGUCCCAGAUAUAUUAAAUGUUAACUUGAGAAAUUAAAUGGAUUGUGAUGAUUCCUUCAACGAACAUGGUAAUUAUCCCACUGAAUGCAUCGAUCGGAGAUAUAACCUGAUUGUAAUGCGAGUACAGCUGAUAUAUAUUCAUACAUCCAGAAUGACCUCAGACGAGUCAAUGCUUCCUGAGAGCGAAAAUAUCCGUAAAACAAAAAAAAAACGAAUUACUCACAAAGGAACCUGUUCCGAGAUAACAAUCUACAAUCAUAAGAGCCGGGAUGCUGACAGAACUGACGGGUUUCUAUGCAGAUGAUGUCUCGUUUCGAUAUCUGUUGGGACGUGUAAAUAAGCAAAUAAUUAAUUACAAAGUAAGUGCUUAAAUCUUAAUCCGCACAAGACAAAUAUGCCACACACAACCAAUUGUGUGACUGUGCGAAUGAUAAUCUCCUCCCUUUUUUUUUGAACGAAAAUAGAUAUUCCCGCAUUGAAGGCGAAAGAAAUGAAGAGAAGAAUAUCUAAUCGAGCUGAAGUAUCUUAUUAUAUGUAGAAAUUACUUUUGUUUUAAGUUUUUGCCAUGGAAGUUUCUAAAUAAAUUGCCCUCAGUCACGAA